UGAGGCACAAGCUUCCAGAGCCUGCUUAUCAUUCAGACACUGACUGAGGAAUUCUUUGAAGUUCUGAUUAGACUUUGCUACUUGCUCCUGAAUAUGGAUCACAGCUGGUUGAGUUUGGAAUUACACCUGAGAUGCACUAUGACAUUGGAAUUUGCUGGGACUUCUGAAUGAAAGGAAGUUUUUGUCAGACUAGAGAGGAAUAUUCAUCAUCAAAUUGAAUUUGAAUUGGCUGGUAUAUCAGCAUUAAACCAAGCUCACAAUGGAAAAAAUCUCAGCAUGGUUUGUCACAAAUACACCUCUAAGGAGCAAGAGUUAUAUCUUUUUGGGCUAUUUGCUUUGCUUUGUCCAUGAGCCACUGGAGUUCAUGCUGGUGAGAAUUGAGUUCUUCAUCCAACUGGUUAAAGAUCCUCAAUCUGUUUUGAACUGCCUCCAGUUCUAAGUACAGAUGGUCUACCACAGCCCUGCAGGAGGUCCUCUGCUCAGAAAUCCCAUGUUUUAGGUGAUACUGGGCCUUAGUAAGUGAACCAUCC